rnacentral:rRNA from 1 species
CAGCAGGGUGUAGCAAUACAUCGCUGGCGACCGGCAAACGGGUGCGGAACACGUACACAACCUUCCUUUGAGUGGGGAAUAGCCCAGGGAAACUUGGAUUAAUACCCCGUAACAUAUAGAUGAGGCAUCUCAAUUAUAUUAUAGCUACGGCGCUUGAAGAUGGGUGUGCGGCUGAUUAGGUAGUUGGCGGGGUAAUGGCCCACCAAGCCUACGAUCAGUAACUGGUGUGAGAGCACGACCAGUCACACGGGCACUGAGACACGGGCCCGACUCCUACGGGAGGCAGCAGUAAGGAAUAUUGGUCAAUGGACGCAAGUCUGAACCAGCCAUGCCGCGUGGAGGAUGAAGGUCCUCUGGAUUGUAAACUUCUUUUAUCUGGGACGAAAAAAGGGAAUUCUUUCUCACUUGACGGUACCAGAUGAAUAAGCACCGGCUAACUCCGUGCCAGCAGCCGCGGUAAUACGGAGGGUGCAAGCGUUAUCCGGAUUCACUGGGUUUAAAGGGUGCGUAGGUGGGCUAGUAAGUCAGUGGUGAAAUCUCCGGGCUUAACCCGGAAACUGCCAUUGAUACUAUUAGUCUUGAAUACCAUGGAGGUGAGCGGAAUAUGUCAUGUAGCGGUGAAAUGCUUANAUAUGACAUAGAACACCAAUUGCGAAGGCAGCUCGCUACGCGGUUAUUGACACUGAGGCACGAAAGCGUGGGGAUCAAACAGGAUUAGAUACCCUGGUAGUCCACGCCCUAAACGAUGGAUACUCGACAUCAGCGAUACACUGUUGGUGUCUGAGCGAAAGCAUUAAGUAUCCCACCUGGGAAGUACGACCGCCAAGGUUGAAACUCAAAGGAAUUGACGGGGGUCCCCAUAAGCGGUGGAGCAUGUGGUUUAAUUCGAUGAUACGCGA